rnacentral:tRNA from 1 species
GCUGCGAUGGCCGAGUGGUUAAGGCGUUCGACUCGAAAUCCAAUGGGAUAUUCCCGCGCAGGUUCAAAUCCCGCCCGUAGCG